rnacentral:rRNA from 1 species
AUUGAACGCUGGCGGCAUGCUUUACACAUGCAAGUCGAACGGUAACAGGUCUUCGGAUGCUGACGAGUGGCGAACGGGUGAGUAAUGCAUCGGAACGUGCCCAGUCGUGGGGGAUAACGCAGCGAAAGCUGUGCUAAUACCGCAUACGAUCUAUGGAUGAAAGCGGGGGACCGUAAGGCCUCGCGCGAUUGGAGCGGCCGAUGUCAGAUUAGGUAGUUGGUGGGGUAAAGGCCCACCAAGCCAACGAUCUGUAGCUGGUCUGAGAGGACGACCAGCCAUACUGGGACUGAGACACGGCCCAGACUCCUACGGGAGGCAGCAGUGGGGAAUUUUGGACAAUGGGCGCAAGCCUGAUUCAGCAAUGCCGCGUGCAGGAAGAAGGCCUUCGGGUUGUAAACUGCUUUUGUACGGAACGAAACGGUCUGGGUUAAUACCCUGGGCUAAUGACGGUACCGUAAGAAUAAGCACCGGCUAACUACGUGCCAGCCGCCGCAGUAAAAC